rnacentral:rRNA from 1 species
UACGGGGGGGGCAAGCGUUGUUCGGAAUUACUGGGCGUAAAGGGUUCGUAGGUGGCCAACUAAGUCAUACGUGAAAUCCCUCAGCUUAACUGGGGAACUGCGUCUGAUACUGGUUGGCUUGAGUGCAGGAGAGGAACGCGGAAUUCCAGGUGUAGCGGUGAAAUGCGUAGAUAUCUGGAGGAACACCGGUGGCGAAGGCGGCAUCCUGGACCGGCAUUGACGCUGAGGAGCGAAAGCCAGGGGAUCAAACGGG